UUACCAGCUUGACAUGCAAGAGAUGGCUAUCACAGGUGGUGCAUGGUUGUCGUCAGCUCGUGUCGUGAGAUGUUGGGUUAAGUCCCGCAACGAGCGCAACCCUAUCUUAUUUGCUAACAUAUGAGACUAUAGGAGACUGCCUACGCAAUAGGAGGAAGGUGGGGACGACGUCAAAUCAUCAUGCCCCUUAUGCUGGGCUACACACGUGCUACAAUGGGAUACAAGGGGCAUGGUGACAUAAGCAAUCCCAAAAUCGUCUAAGUUCGGAUCGAAGUCUGCAACUCGACUUCGUGAAGCCGGAAUCACUAGUAAUCGUGAUCAGAUGCACGGUGAAUACGUUCUCGGGUCUUGUACACACCGCCCGUCACACCACGGGAGUUGGAAACCAAA
rnacentral:rRNA from 1 species